rnacentral:rRNA from 1 species
CGCGGCCUAUCAGCUUGUUGGUGGGGUAAUGGCUCACCAAGGCGACGACGGGUAGCCGGCCUGAGAGGGUGACCGGCCACACUGGGACUGAGACACGGCCCAGACUCCUACGGGAGGCAGCAGUGGGGAAUAUUGCACAAUGGGCGGAAGCCUGAUGCAGCGACGCCGCGUGAGGGGUGACGGCCUUCGGGUUGUAAACCUCUUUCAGCAGGGAAGAAGCCACAAGUGACGGUACCUGCAGAAGAAGCGCCGGCUAACUACGUGCCAGCAGCCGCGGUAAUACGUAGGGCGCGAGCGUUGUCCGGAAUUAUUGGGCGUAAAGAGCUCGUAGGCGGUUUGUCGCGUCUGCUGUGAAAGCCCGGGGCUCAACCCCGGGUCUGCAGUGGGUACGGGCAGACUAGAGUGCAGUAGGGGAGACUGGAAUUCCUGGUGUAGCGGUGAAAUGCGCAGAUAUCAGGAGGAACACCGAUGGCGAAGGCAGGUCUCUGGGCUGUUACUGACGCUGAGGAGCGAAAGCAUGGGGAGCGAACAGGAUUAGAUACCCUGGUAGUCCAUGCCGUAAACGUUGGGCACUAGGUGUGGGGGACAUUCCACGUUCUCCGCGCCGUAGCUAACGCAUUAAGUGCCCCGCCUGGGGAGUACGG